GUUAUAACCAGGUUAUAACCUGGUUAUAUCUUGAGACAUAAAUUGGUUAUAACCUGGUUAUAUCCUGAGACAUUACCUGGUUAUAACCUGGUUAUAAC